CCGAGUUGUGUCUCCCCCGGGAGCCAUCUCCACCCUGUGCGAACUAAAUCUGUUGCUUUGGCGGGCCGCAGCCCCGCUGCCACCGGUGUAUCUGGUGAGCGCCCGCCGGAGGUCUUUUAAAAUCUAUUUUAUAUGACGUCUGAGUAAGAAAAUAAAUGCGAA
rnacentral:misc_RNA from 1 species